ACGUUAGCGGCGGACGGGUGAGUAACACGUGGGCAACCUACCCUAUAGUUUGGGAUAACUCCGGGAAACCGGGGCUAAUACCGAAUAAUCUCUUUUGCUUCAUGGUGAAAGACUGAAAGACGGUUUCGGCUGUCGCUAUAGGAUGGGCCCGCGGCGCAUUAGCUAGUUGGUGAGGUAACGGCUCACCAAGGCGACGAUGCGUAGCCGACCUGAGAGGGUGAUCGGCCACACUGGGACUGAGACACGGCCCAGACUCCUACGGGAGGCAGCAGUAGGGAAUCUUCCACAAUGGGCGAAAGCCUGAUGGAGCAACGCCGCGUGAGUGAAGAAGGUUUUCGGAUCGUAAAACUCUGUUGUAAGGGAAGAACAAGUACAGUAGUAACUGGCUGUACCUUGACGGUACCUUAUUAGAAAGCCACGGCUAACUACGUGCCAGCAGCCGCGGUAAUACGUAGGUGGCAAGCGUUGUCCGGAAUUAUUGGGCGUAAAGCGCGCGCAGGCGGUCCUUUAAGUCUGAUGUGAAAGCCCACGGCUCAACCGUGGAGGGUCAUUGGAAACUGGGGGACUUGAGUGCAGAAGAGGAAAGUGGAAUUCCAAGUGUAGCGGUGAAAUGCGUAGAGAUUUGGAGGAACACCAGUGGCGAAGGCGACUUUCUGGUCUGUAACUGACGCUGAGGCGCGAAAGCGUGGGGAGCAAACA
rnacentral:rRNA from 1 species